GGCACUUUCCAGGCUCUUAAAGUCAUGAUGUUGUGAGAAGAUGACGGGAAACUUGACAUUUGGUAGAAAUUUAUAUUUGUUAUGUAUAUGUUUGUUAAUGCAACUGGAAUAUUUGACCUAGGC
rnacentral:lncRNA from 1 species